rnacentral:rRNA from 1 species
UACGAAGGGGGCUAGCGUUGUUCGGAAUCACUGGGCGUAAAGCGCACGUAGGCGGACUCUUAAGUCGGUGGUGAAAUCCUGGAGCUCAACUCCAGAACUGCCUUCGAUACUGAGAGUCUCGAGUCCGGGAGAGGUGAGCGGAACUGCGAGUGUAGAGGUGAAAUUCGUAGAUAUUCGCAAGAACACCAGUGGCGAAGGCGGCUCACUGGCCCGGUACUGACGCUGAGGUGCGAAAGCGUGGGGAGCAAACAGG